ACCAUCUCUGUCUUGGGGUGCUAUGGGAUGUUCAAUGAACGUAUAGUGAGAGCAUCCCUGCUAACACCUAACCAACACAUUCAGCAUCACCUGAACGUCUAGUUCAGGCUAUGGUGCAAUUUUUGGAACC
ensembl:snRNA U4atac minor spliceosomal RNA